GCAAACUUUAUUGUACCAAUGACUUCUCACGGCAAACAACUCCUUGGCCUCUGUGUUGUUUACGCGAGAAACAAUUAUUGGGUUUCUUUGUGUUACACGUAAUUUUAAGCAAGAUCGUAUACCAGCCUUAUUUAAAAAUGCAAUGCCAUGUGGGUAGAGCUUGGAAAAAUGGCAAGAGUAAGUCAAGUGAGGACAAGAAAGGUCACAGCUUGCGUAAAUGUGGGCAAAAGGAAAAUGGCAAUACUACAUCAUAUUUUCUUUGAAUCGGGGACUAAAACAGAUAUUUAACAUUAACAGCUGGAGACAACUUAAUCUUAAGGAUAUUCUCCAAAGUAAGAAUUUAGUUGUUAUAACCCUACAUGUUGGAUCCUUCUGCAAGGCUGUGAAGUAAUAGCCAAUCUAUAUUAAAGAUUUGCUGUCCUUUUUAAUCGCCUAAAAUUUACUUCCAACAUUCUGAAUACCUAUUGGGCUUGGACAGACGAGAACAAAGAAAAUGUAGUGUCUGUGCAGGGGGUCUCAGUGUACAGUCCAUUUUCAUGGAGAUUCCCUGAUUUUCUGUUACAGAGACCAACAAUCAAGAACUUUUGAGUAGUUAUAAAGAAAAUGAUAGUCCAGUACUUAUUUGAAUUUAGUGAUUAAGAUGGUUUAAGAACAGAUAAGAGGUUUAAACUUUAGCUGGCGUAGAGGUGACAAAAUCUGGACUUCUUUUCUUGCUAGUCGAUCUUCUACACAACAGACAAUACAAAGAAAAUACAUUCUGCCUUUAUACAAGAACAAUGGUCUUCAUCAAUUAAGAACAAUAGCAGUCAAAGGUUUCCAAGUCACAAGCACAAUGACAAUUUUAUUCAUUUUGUUUUCUUAAUAGUUUUUUUUUUAUAAAUGUCAACAAUAAAUUAGAAAAUAAUACUAAAUUAGAAAAUGUAUAUACAUU